rnacentral:rRNA from 1 species
AUUGAACGCUGGCGGCAGGCCUAACACAUGCAAGUCGAGCGAGCGGCGGACGGGUGAGUAAUGUAUGGGGACUGCCCGAUAGAGGGGGAUAAACACUGGAAACGGUGGCUAAUACCGUAUUCUAUGGUAUACCCUAUAUGGGAUUCGCUAGUAGGUGGGGCAAAGGCGCACCGAGGCCACGAUCUCUAGCUGGUCUGAGAGGAUGAUCAGCCACACUGGGACUGAGACACGGCCCAGACUCCUACGGAGGCAGCAGUGGGGAAUAUUGCACAAUGGGCGCAAGCCUGAUGCAGCCAUGCCGCGUGUAUGAAGAAGGCCUUAGGGUUGUAAAGUACUUUCAGCGGGGAGGCGUUACCCACAGAAGAAGCACCGGCUAACUCCGUGCCAGCAGCCGCGGUAAUUC